rnacentral:rRNA from 1 species
GUCUGGGAAACUGCCUGAUGGAGGGGGAUAACUACUGGAAACGAUAGCUAAUACCGCAUAAUGUCGCAAGACCAAAGUGGGGGACCUUCGGGCCUCAUGCCAUCAGAUGUGCCCAGAUGGGAUUAGCUAGUAGGUGGGGUAACGGCUCACCUAGGCGACGAUCCCUAGCUGGUCUGAGAGGAUGACCAGCCACACUGGAACUGAGACACGGUCCAG